CACGUAGGGCGCAAGCGUUGUCCGGAAUUAUUUGGGCGUAAAGAGCUCGUAGGCGGCUCGUUGCGUCGGCUGUGAAAACCCGCAGCUCAACCUGUGGGCUUGCAGCCGAUACGGGCGGGCUGGGAUUCGGUAGGGGAGGAUGGAAUUCCUGGUGUAGCGGUGAAAUGCGCAGAUAUCAGGAGGAACACCGGUGGCGAAGGCGGGUCUCUGGGCCGGAUA
rnacentral:rRNA from 1 species